UUUUUCCUCUUCCUUUCUCAGGGGGGCAGAAACUGAAGCAUGGAGAUGCAUUUGUUGCCAUUGAAGAUCCUUCCUAAAAAAGCUGUGUGACUGGGUACGUGUUACAUAAUACGCUCUUAAAAGUGAGGUUUUGGGCAGGAAUAAUACUGAUUUUAUAGUUUACUUUAGGGACUGAACUGCUGAGAUGUGCCUGUUGAAAUCAGGAUUUGGUGUUUUGUUGCUUCAUUUGGUGUGUAUAUUUUAUUGGCAGAAAAAUUAUAACCAAGUGUAUAUGGUAGUGUGACUAGGAAGGAUUGGGCCGCAGUAGAGAUGCAUUAGAUAUGCUGGGAAGAGGGGUUUAUGAUAAAAAAGUAUGGCAUGUCGCUGUGCUCUUGCCUGCAAAACUAGACGUAUUGGAUUCCACAGAUUUCUUGGGGAAGACUGUGCCAGGGAAAAGUGUCUUUCAAUAAACACAUUUCUGAUUUAAUGAAGUGAGUAUGAAUCUGCAGAGGCAGGAGCAGAGGGAGAUGUCAUGAAGAUACUAAAAGUUUUGUUUCAGAGCAGUUUAGAACUCCUAGGAGCACAUCAUACGGUUCAGUGAUGUUUGCUGUGUUGUAUGUGUUUUCAGUAGGAAGAUUAAACUGCUUCAAACUUGUUUUUACAGGGGAAGAACACUCUUGAGCUGUUGUGACAGAAGAAGAUGGGGCUAAAUUCCACACCUGAGUUAUAAGAGUAACUGAUUAGAACUUUCUAAUUUUUACUUAGGGUGGGGUAGAUCUGUCUGAUACUCUGCAUUUGAUACCUUUCACGAGCAAUAGUAUUCCUGGUUAUCAAGCAGAGACAGCAAAUGCUAAUUUUAGUCUAGAUCUUAAUCUCACUUUAGAAUUAACAGAAAUGAACUUUAUU